rnacentral:rRNA from 1 species
UACAGAGGGGGCGAGCGUUGUUCGGAAUUACUGGGCGUAAAGGGCGCGUAGGCGGCCAACUAAGUCAGACGUGAAAUCCCUCGGCUCAACCGGGGAACUGCGUCUGAUACUGGAUGGCUUGAAUUCGGGAGAGGGAUGCGGAAUUCCAGGUGUAGCGGUGAAAUGCGCAGAUAUCGGGAGGAACACCGGUGGCGAAGGCGGUUCUCUGGGCCUGACCUGACGCUGAGGAGCGAAAGCGUGGGUAGCAAACAGG